CCUACGGGAGGCAGCAGUAGGGAAUAUUGGGCAAUGGAGGCAACUCUGACCCAGCCAUGCCGCGUGAACGAAGAAGGCGCUAUGCGUCGUAAAGUUCUUUUAGAGGGGGCGAAAACACUUGAUUCAUCAAGUACUGACGGUACCUUCGGAAUAAGCACCGGCUAACUCUGUGCCAGCAGCCGCGGUAAUACAGAGGGUGCAAGCGUUAUCCGGAAUCACUGGGUUUAAAGGGUGCGUAGGCGGGAUUAUAAGUCAGAGGUGAAAUCUCGUCGCUUAACGACGGAAUUGCCUUUGAUACUGUUUUCUGAAAUUUGUUGAGGUUGGCGGAAUGAGACAUGUAGCGGUGAAAUGCUUAGAUAUGUCUUAGAACACCGAUUGCGAAGGCAGCUGACUGGACAAUAUUUGACGCUGAGGCACGAAAGCGUGGGGAUCAAACAGGUAUUAGACUACCCGUGGUACGUCCGACCGACCCGUAAACCGUAACGUAGUUUACGUUACGUCGUUGUUUUAGGUUUUUACGGUUAACGUUAGUAGGUGGUACGGUAACGGACGGAAACGGACGGUAGUAAGUAAACCGUAACCGUACCGGGUACGGGUACGGUACCGGACCGGACGGUAAGGUAACGUAACGUUAAACGAAAGUAAGUUACGGUUACGGUACGUUAGGACGUUACGCCGACGGACGGACGACCGACGGGAGGGAGGAGG
rnacentral:rRNA from 1 species